CUGCAUAUGUUGAUAUUUUACCAUUAAGGUGUGGACACAACAUGUCUCAUAUGUUGAAACUUUACCAACACUCUCUCUUCGUUAUCUAUGAAGGGGCGUUGCACCAUUUUGUCAUUGAGAGGCGUCCUCUAUCCGAUCAGCACUCAUGGUGUAAAUUCAAGUAACGUGCUGUUAAUGAUGAGCAGUGCAGAUGGUAGUUGUUUUGGUGGAAGAGUAUCAGACUCAUUAGUAGCAGCGUGUCCAAUUAUGGUUGUGGUGGCAGCUUGCGCUCCCACAGCUCCUCUCCUGCGUUCUUUAGAGCUAGUGAGUGCAGCAACACAAGCUUAUCAUCAACUUGCUUCCCAUGAAUCAGAUGGUGACAGCAAUGAUACACCUACAUCUUCUCUAUCAUCAAUAUCAAAUGACAAAUGAAGGUCCUUAACUUUGAGUGUUGCAUCGGAGUUCCCAGGAUGCUAGUGAGAGAAGGGAGCUGAAGGCAGAUUAAUUAAUCCAGAUUAUCUAUUUAUGGACUUUUUGUGGUAAUGCUAGAACUGAUACAAACUUGGCUUUUUGGUUGAUUAUUACAUGGGUUUGGACAACCGUCAUCAAUUUACAGUUAAAUAUGGUUGAACUAUUCUCAUUUGAUGGGUAUUUGACAUUUUUUAAAGUUUCUGUUUAGUAUCUCUGGCCUAGUCACAAGAAAAUUAUGUCUUUUUUGCCUUGCACUACCCUUCCUGGUAGUUGUUCCAGUACGGGUUAUUCAUGGCCAUAUAUUCUUAAACCUCACCGGCUUACAAGAAAGACUUUUCUCUAAUCGAUUAAUGAUUGUAUUAAAACCUAUUUCAACUUAUCCAAUCUUCUCCCGCGUGCUAGUAUAUGUAUUC